GGGUCGAAGUAGCGCAUCGGGCCGCGGCGCUCGCCCGGCGGCGGCGUGAAGAAGACACGGGCAGCCUGGUCGCCGCUGGUUCCGACCCA
rnacentral:tRNA from 1 species